GAUCCGAUGUUCCAAGACUCUCCAAGGCUGGAGCAAGGGCUCUUCUUCUGAUCUUGUUUCUUCAUAGACAAGAAAGCUGGGGAAGACGGAACAUCCAACAAGGACUUGAGAAGCCCAAGACGUGCCGAUUUCUACCCCCCAGAUCUUUCUAUUUAUGUCCUCUGAGUGUCGGGAUGAAUUUGACUCAGCUGUGAUACAUCAAAAGACGAGGCGCACACACCUUCUGCGCAGCUGCCAGGAGGUGGAGUUUUCUCCAUUCACGAAAGCUCCUGGCUGUCCAGUGCUGCUUUGUGUAAAACUCACAUCCCAGGCCAUCCCCAUCUGGCCAAAGAUGUCGGAGCUCCAUGGAGACGGUCCUCUUCAGUGGUUCCCACUUCCAAUGCCUCGUGUUUGAAAGCCUGUUCAGAGGAGAAAAACAUGAUCUGCGGGGUAUCAGCUGAGCUGAGUGGCCGAGGAGGAGGGGAACAAAAGAGGGACUCGCGUCGCUUUCUGUGUGUUCGUGCCCCUCGGUUCCAUUUUGAGGGAAAAUUUAUGAAUGAGAGAAGAUAAAAUGUGCUUGAAGAUGGAUGGUACUGAUGGCGCCUAAGAGAAUCCAAGGAGCAACACAGUGUUGGAGCUUCCGAGGGGUGUGGCCCUGCUCUCUUGCAUGCACACAUGCGAAGAAAUUGGGGCUGCCUAUAUGUGGUCCUAGCUUUCAUAUCUGAGUCCAUAGUCCAUCCAGAGGAAACUGAGUUUUGAAUCUUUGCAACAUCCUUAUCAUUUUAUCGAUUCCCUCAGAAACGUGAGCGGCUAUCUAGCUACCAUUAUGUAGUGUCAGGUGAGUGUUAGGAUUCUGCUCUCAUUCCUCAGGGUCUGGCGUCUUCCGUCAUCAGCAGGUGCUGGCAACUAUGUACCCAUUGUGUGGUCACGCAAUCCCACCCUAAAAAAGUG